GUCCACGCCCUAAACGAUGCCGACUAGCUGUUUCGAGUAUCGACCCUCGGAGUGGCGCAGCUAACGCGUUAAGUCGGCCGCCUGGGAAGUACGAUCGCAAGAUUAAAACUCAAAGGAAUAGACGGGGACUCGCACAAGCGGUAGAGCAUGAGGUUCAAUUCGACACAAAACGGAAACCUUACCCGGACUUGAAAUGCACUUGAAUACUCGCGGAAAACGUGGGUAGCCCCUUAAAAGGCAAGUGCACAGGUGCUGCAUGGUUGUCGU
rnacentral:rRNA from 1 species